UCCAAAUGGAUUUGUUCCAAGAAUGAACAUUUCUCAUGUACAGAAUGGAGUAUAUCGCACUAUCGGCCAGAUGAUGUCUACCAUAAUAGUCCAGGGUGGUGAACCUCCAGCAUUACUUUCUCCUCAUGUAGUGGACUACAUUGUAACAGGAGAUAUUCUUCAGGUGCAUGUCAGCCCAGAUGACGUCGCUGACACUGAACUCAGAGAAAACCUGACAAAGGUUGAUCAAGCAGCAACCCAAGAUGAGUUGAAUAUAGCAGUGGAAUGUUGUGAUUCAUGGAGAUUUGAAGUUGAAGGUCUUCCAAACCCAGUCAACAUGGAGACCAAAGAUGCAUUUGUAAAGAAUGCAAUACACUUCCACAAUCUCAUUCAACGACAGAUCUGCUAUGACCAGUUCGUUCAGGGUUUGAAGCACUAUGAGGUCCUACCACUAUUGAAAGAAAAUCCUUCUAUGAGGGUUUUCUUUGAUAUGCCCAAAGAAGCCAGUGAAGUCACUGCACAUGUUGUGGCUGGUCUUCUGAAGCCAAAUUACUCAGUGCUUGGUAGUAAUAGAAGACC